ACCCGGGACCUUGCAACGCUGCUUUCUCUGUGCCCUUUGCCUUCGGUCCUUUCUCUGGGUCUGGUCCGUGUGUCUCUCAGCCACUCCUUUCCUCCCAGACUCACACGGUCAGCCGUGGGUCACCUCAGCAGAGCCCCUCUGUGCCCUGGCCUGCAGCUCAUUCCAGUGGGAACCCCACUCUGCGUCCUUCAGUCUGUCCAGCUCUUCCUCCCGCCCGGGGUCACGUGGUCCAGGACCCCUUCCCCCCCAGCCUCCAAGCUGCCCCUGAACCUUCUGGAAGCUCCGGGGCUGGAUCAGGUCCUCUUCCUUCCUGCUGCCACAGCCCCCUCUCGCCCUCCUGUGGCCCCAGGGAUACCACCUCAGCAUUUGUGUUCCCCCCAACUAGACUGUGCCCCUGAGGGGACCCCCUCCUCUCCUCGGUGACCCUAGCACAUCACCUGGAGCCUGGCACAUUGCAGAAGCUGCGUGACGGAGGACAGAGCCACACUGGCAGGCGGGCGCGGGGACGGACGCACCGUCCUGGAUUUCAUUGGAACGAGGCCUAGAGAUUGCAAGUGCAGGUGGAAAAUUUUGGAACUCCGUGACAGAGACUCCACGAGGGAACAGCAAGUAUCAAAGGCGAUGAAGAGGCUGCGGCUCAGAGGGGUUAAGAAGCUUGUGCAGAACCACACAGCUAGUUAAAUGGAGGAAUGGGAUGCUAACCAGAGAUGUCUGACUCGGAAGCCGGCGUUAAGAAUGGCCUUCUCUGAUGUUGGCAAUCUGCACAAUGAUUCGUGUCCAACAAAGGAUGCCAGGGCCGAGCCCCGAGGGCCACGCCAACACCUGGCUGCCUGGGCGGGCGGCUUCUCCUUCUUGCAGGAGAAGAAAUGGUUUUUCUACUUCCUGCCUCCCCAUGAGUCACCAAGAAACCGUCCACUAUAGAGACCGGUCUGCUGUCUUCCCUGCAGUCCCCGACGUGGUGUCCUGCACACCAAGGUGCCCUGUGGGCGCUCAGUGGACUGGAUCACGGGUACAGAGAGCUCCCUGAGACCUGGCAUUAUUCCAAUCAGGCCUCCGGAUUCUGUAUUUUCACAUUUUAAAAAUGUGACUCAUAGAAAAUUUAUUUAACUUGUGAACGAGGGAACCAGUCAGAUGGGGUAAGCUCCUUCCAAGAGCAGUUAAGGAUCUGUGGGCAGAUUUUUAAAGAAUCUUAGGAUAUGAUUACCAGGCUAUGGGCAAAGCUGCUUAACACCCCUCAAGGAGAAAGAAAAAAAAAAUCCUAUUCCUUUAAGGUGGUCUUUUCCACAGGACAGAAGUUUACAAGUGGGUGUGUAAUUCAUCACGUUGAUCUUCUGAUAAAACAGUUAAUGUCCAAGUUAGAAACCGGGUGCAGUGGUGCACACCUACAAUCCCCGUGACUUAGGAGGCUGAGGCAGGAGGAGGAUCCCAGCAAGUUCAAGGCCCGUCUUCACAACUUACCAAGACCCUGUCUCAAAAAAAA